CUUCAGCUUAAUGUAGUGGUUCUGGUGUCUAUAGCCUGUCCCUGCAGGCCUUUUAAUGUAAACACGGCGGCACUGCAGCACUGGCAUUAGUUAACAUGGCAAAUCAUAUGGGUGGGGCAUUGUGAUGUCACAUGGGGAGGGGCAGUAAACUUUACUUUUGCCAAGGGCGGCAAAAAUCCUUGCACCGGUCCUGGCUGGAGGGGGCUGUGUGAGCUGUGGCCGCACAGUGCCCCAUGGUAGUUAGGGUGCCGUGCGGCCAGUACAGCUCACACAAGCAAACAGCUGAUAAACUGGGCGCACGGAGGAAAUGUGAAUGUGUGACUGUCUGCCUGUGACUGUGUGUGACUGUCUGCCUGUAACUUAGUGUGUGACUGUCUGU
rnacentral:lncRNA from 1 species